rnacentral:rRNA from 1 species
GACGAAGGUGGCAAGCGUUGUUCGGAAUUACUGGGCCUAAAGCGCGCGUAGGCGGCUGUGUAAGUCAGGUGUGAAAGCCCUCGGCUCAACCGAGGAACUGCGCCUGAUACUGCACGGCUUGAGGUCCGGAGGGGAGAGUGGAAUUCCCGGUGGAGCGGUGAAAUGCGUAGAGAUCGGGAAGAACGCCGGCGGCGAAAGCGACUCUCUGGUCGGAAUCUGACGCUGAGGCGCGAAAGCUAGGGGAGCAAACGGG